AGCUAUUGUGCUCUAGUCCUCAAUUACCCUUACCAGUGCCUCACUUCCCCUCACAGACCUAAGUUUUCUACACAGCCCAUAUCCCCUCAUCAGGUCAACAAUAUAAUGACAUUUUCAAUAACUCAAAACACGUUUCAGCGUAUCCAGGUCCAAUAUUUAACCCAUUCAAAACAAACCAUAUUUAUCAAGUCCAAACACAGAAAAAUCAAUUGUUAAGCAAUAACUCAAAUCAAUUCAAGAACAUGCUAAAAAUACAUAACAGUAGCAAUUCAAUUCCCACCCA
rnacentral:lncRNA from 1 species